rnacentral:rRNA from 1 species
CUGGCGGCGUGCUAUACAUGCAAGUCGAGCGAACAGACGAGGAGCUUGCUCCUCUGACGUUAGCGGCGGACGGGUGAGUAACACGUGGAUAACCUACCUAUAAGACUGGGAUAACUUCGGGAAACCGGAGCUAAUACCGGAUAAUAUAUUGAACCGCAUGGUUCAAUAGUGAAAGACGGUUUUGCUGUCACUUAUAGAUGGAUCCGCGCCGCAUUAGCUAGUUGGUAAGGUAACGGCUUACCAAGGCAACGAUGCGUAGCCGACCUGAGAGGGUGAUCGGCCACACUGGAACUGAGACACGGUCCAGACUCCUACGGGAGGCAGCAGUAGGGAAUCUUCCGCAAUGGGCGAAAGCCUGACGGAGCAACGCCGCGUGAGUGAUGAAGGUCUUCGGAUCGUAAAACUCUGUUAUUAGGGAAGAACAAAUGUGUAAGUAACUAUGCACGUCUUGACGGUACCUAAUCAGAAAGCCACGGCUAACUACGUGCCAGCAGCCGCGGUAAUACGUAGGUGGCAAGCGUUAUCCGGAAUUAUUGGGCGUAAAGCGCGCGUAGGCGGUUUUUUAAGUCUGAUGUGAAAGCCCACGGCUCAACCGUGGAGGGUCAUUGGAAACUGGAAAACUUGAGUGCAGAAGAGGAAAGUGGAAUUCCAUGUGUAGCGGUGAAAUGCGCAGAGAUAUGGAGGAACACCAGUGGCGAAGGCGACUUUCUGGUCUGUAACUGACGCUGAUGUGCGAAAGCGUGGGGAUCAAACAGGAUUAGAUACCCUGGUAGUCCACGCCGUAAACGAUGAGUGCUAAGUGUUAGGGGGUUUCCGCCCCUUAGUGCUGCAGCUAACGCAUUAAGCACUCCGCCUGGGGAGUACGACCGCAAGGUUGAAACUCAAAGGAAUUGACGGGGACCCGCACAAGCGGUGGAGCAUGUGGUUUAAUUCGAAGCAACGCGAAGAACCUUACCAAAUCUUGACAUCCUCUGACCCCUCUAGAGAUAGAGUUUUCCCCUUCGGGGGACAGAGUGACAGGUGGUGCAUGGUUGUCGUCAGCUCGUGUCGUGAGAUGUUGGGUUAAGUCCCGCAACGAGCGCAACCCUUAAGCUUAGUUGCCAUCAUUAAGUUGGGCACUCUAAGUUGACUGCCGGUGACAAACCGGAGGAAGGUGGGGAUGACGUCAAAUCAUCAUGCCCCUUAUGAUUUGGGCUACACACGUGCUACAAUGGACAAUACAAAGGGCAGCGAAACCGCGAGGUCAAGC